GGUUAAAAAGCUCGUAGUUGGAUCUCUGCGGGCAGGGGGGUGGUUCGCUCUUCAGCGCUACUGCCCCAUUUGUUCGUAUUUUUGCAAGAGGAUUGGGGGUCCCCUUUGUUGGGUGUCUCCGGUCGCUUGCAGGUUUACUUUGAAAAAAUUAGAGUGCUCAAAGCAGGCUUACACGCUUGAAUAUUCGUGCAUGGAAUAAUAGAAUAGGAAGUCGUUUCUAUUUUGUUGGUUUUCGGAAAAUGACUUAAUGAUUAAUAGGGACAAUCGGGGGCAUUAGUAUUCAAACGACAGAGGUGAAAUUCUUGGACCGUUUGAAGACUAACUACUGCGAAAGCAUUUGCCAAGAGUGUUUUCAUUAAUCAAGAACGAAAGUUAGAGGUUCGAAGGCGAUCAGAUACCGCCCUAGUUCUAACCAUAAACGAUGCCCAGCUAGCGAUCUGCGGGUGUGUAAAAACAAGACCCCGCAGGGAGCUUCCGGGAAACCCAAGCUUGUGGGUUCCGGGGGAAGUAUGGUUGCAAAGCUGAAACUUAAAGGAAUUGACGGAAGGGCACC
rnacentral:rRNA from 1 species